rnacentral:rRNA from 1 species
AUACCCUAUUAUUUUUAUUGUAAAAUUCUAAGCUAGAGUAUUAGUAGAUAUGGUCUUGAAACUUAAAGAAUUUGGCGGUAUUAUAGUCUAUUUAGAGGAAUCUGUUAUGUAAUCGAUAGUCCACGUUGAACCUUACUUAUUUAAUUUCUUGUAUACCGCUGUUUAUGAAUAUACUUUUAGGUUAUUUUCAAGAUAUAAUAGUAAUUAAUAUUUCAAGUCAAGGUGCAGUAAUAUAUAAGUUGAAUAAUGGAUUACAAUAAGUUUUAUUUAUACGGAUUAUUAUUGAAAUAUAAUUUGAAGGUGGA